rnacentral:rRNA from 1 species
UACAGAGGGUGCGAGCGUUAAUCGGAAUUACUGGGCGUAAAGGGCUCGUAGGCGGCCAACUAAGUCGGAUGUGAAAUCCCCAGGCUCAACCUGGGAACUGCAUCCGAUACUGGAUGGCUUGAAUUCGGGAGAGGGAUGCAGAAUUCCAGGUGUAGCGGUGAAAUGCGUAGAUAUCUGGAGGAAUACCGGUGGCGAAGGCGGCAUCCUGGACCGACAUUGACGCUGAUGAGCGAAAGCUAGGGGAGCAAACGGG